GUCCCUGUGUGCCUAGAAGCAUCCGCUGGCCCAACACACGCAUGCACGUUGCGCGGGAGCGGCCGCAUACAAAACGCCGCCGACAAGAAUUCGCGGUGAGAACGUCGUCGACCGCAUUACCGCCAACCCAAAGGACUGCGACCUCAAGGCCUUGCUCCUUCAGCUGUAGCGCGACGUGAGCCCUGCCAUUUCACUUUCAAGAUACGUAAGCUGCUUCGACACUGAAAAUGCCGACGCAAUGGUGCAUCUGAACAGCUAAUGGAUACCAUGCCCACUCUGUAACGACCAGUGCUUUUAAUGAAACAGCACGGCGGAAUAAAGUCAACCACGUGAGGCACCUCAGACAGCAUAUGCAGUGGGUUGUGACGGAUUCAAUGAUUUCAUCAGCAUUUUCACUGGAUGCAAGGCUGUGAAUCUCUUGUAUGAUGCAUGUGUGGAAAAGAAACCCAACAUCCGGUGCACAUGCCUGCUUGAAACAGUCGGGCAUAUCCCAUUAGUUGAGUGCCCCUGUGUCGGCAUUUGCUGAUGUGAUCCCAGCUAUCUUCACCCAUUACAUUCUGCUGAAUUUACUGCAGCCACCCUUUGGAAAAAUAGCACAUGGCAAUUAUUUCAAGGUAAUUAGUUCUCCCAUACAGAAAAAAUACCAUUAGCAGUACUCGUGGAUGGGAUAAUCUGCCACUUUGCAAUGGUGGCGAGCAUAAAUCCCACUAGCUGUAGUAACACCAGUUUUGACAUUAGGAAGCAACUUUCUUGCAGCUAGACUUCAUAUGUACUAUGUUUCGUGCAACGUCAGUGUUCAGAAUAAAAGCAUUUGACCACUGCAAACUGUCGUUUUUUUUUCUUCUAGACGUACAUAUGAACACAUUCUUGAUAUAAAAAGACAUGCAGGGCUGUAUUACAGCACAGAAAUGUUUGGACAAUUCAAGCUCAUUAAUUCAGAAUGUAAGUUUGAAAAUUCUAAGGAAUCAAACCAUUCUGUUUUCAGUGCACUGAAGUACACAAAGUGCACUUCAGCCACCAAAUGCAAUUGACAAGGUUGAUAACAUUUAUGAGUUAUGACGG